rnacentral:misc_RNA from 1 species
AAGUCGUAACAAGGUUUCCGUAGGUGAACCUGCGGAAGGAUCAUUAUCGAAGCAAAAGGUCCUUCGUGUUGUUGCUGGCCUCCUCGCGGGGGCAUGUGCACGCCCGUCGGGCCGUAUCCUUCUCCACCCCUGUGCACCUCUGCGUGGGCCCAUCGGCGUCAGCCUUUGGACCCGCGUCUUAUCUAUAAACCCCAUGUAUGUCUUCAGAAUGUCUAAUGCGAUAAAAAGCAUCUUAUACAACUUUCAACAACGGAUCUCUUGGCUCUC